UCAGGAUGAACGCUAGCUACAGGCUUAACACAUGCAAGUCGAGGGGCAGCAUGGUCUUAGCUUGCUAAGGCCGAUGGCGACCGGCGCACGGGUGAGUAACACGUAUCCAACCUGCCGUCUACUCUUGGACAGCCUUCUGAAAGGAAGAUUAAUACAAGAUGGCAUCAUGAGUCCGCAUGUUCACAUGAUUAAAGGUAUUCCGGUAGACGAUGGGGAUGCGUUCCAUUAGAUAGUAGGCGGGGUAACGGCCCACCUAGUCUUCGAUGGAUAGGGGUUCUGAGAGGAAGGUCCCCCACAUUGGAACUGAGACACGGUCCAAACUCCUACGGGAGGCAGCAGUGAGGAAUAUUGGUCAAUGGGCGAGAGCCUGAACCAGCCAAGUAGCGUGAAGGAUGACUGCCCUAUGGGUUGUAAACUUCUUUUAUAAAGGAAUAAAGUCGGGUAUGGAUACCCGUUUGCAUGUACUUUAUGAAUAAGGAUCGGCUAACUCCGUGCCAGCAGCCGCGGUAA
rnacentral:rRNA from 1 species